rnacentral:tRNA from 1 species
GGCAGUCAAGCUCAAUGGCGAGCGCCGGUCUCAUACGCCGGAGGAACUUGGUUCGAUUCCAAGGGUUGCCA